GACAAAAAGUAAGCUGUCUCGAUUAUAAUAAUUGAACUUAACUUUUAAGUGAAAAGGCUUAAAUGUUUCAGGGGGACGAUAAGACCCUAUAAAGCUUGACAAUAACUUCGUUAUAUUAUAAAUUGUUAGUAUAACUUGAUUUUAACGGGGGUUUGUUUCGUUGGGGCGACGGGAAUAUAAUAAAUAACUGUUCUUUUAAAUAUAAUUACAAAAAUGUUUGGUAAAUAAUUGAUCCUCUAUUAGAGAUUAAAAGAUUAAGUUACUUUAGGGA
rnacentral:rRNA from 1 species